rnacentral:lncRNA from 1 species
UAGGACAGGAACACGUAUACUUAAUUACCGAUUAAUCUUUAUAUAACUAUUUAAGAAGCGAGUAGGAUAACAUACCAUAAGCCCGACCAUAAAUUGAGAUGGGGUAAAUUAAGCAAGAAGAGAGAAGUUUUCUUGACUUAGAAAUAUGAUCCUGAAAGGCCGUGUCCCAAAUAUAUAAUAGAUAUAAUACUAGCUUAAUCUAAUGUAGUACCACAGUUGUAUUCUUCCCAUCUUAUUUUUUUUCUCAUUUUUGCUCCCAUUUUUACGCGCACGUUUUUCUAAUUAUACAUAAUUUUGCAAAAAGUUUCUAUACAGGAAUCUAUUAUUGUAUCUUUGUAAAGUGAACUUUUAACUUUAUAGUCGUUAAUUAUAUCGUUUAUACUAUUAAAUAGAUAUCAUAAAAACAAAUAAUAUUUUAUAUCUUAUGGUAAAAAUAUUUUUUCCAUGUGCGUGAAAUGGAGAGGCAAUUGCUCAGGCAGAAGAGCCAAAAAUGGAGGAGGAUGUG